rnacentral:rRNA from 1 species
GGGUGCGAUCAUACCAGCACUAAUGCACCGGAUUCCAUCAAAACUCUGCAGUUAAGCGGGAUUGGGUGAGAAUAGAACUAAAAUAGGAAACUCAUGGCUACGAUUG